UUAUUUAGUUAUUCAGGAUAAACGAAAGAGGUCUUGAAAAAGUUAUUUUGAUGCAAAUGCUUUAUUGCAUUCCUAUCUGUCCGUGUUUUUUUUUGCAUUUGGAAACAGAACACAAGACAGCAUGUAGCAGCCUACUUGUGCUAUAUCUGGUCUGUGAACAUUUGCUUCAGUAACCUACAGAUGGUAUGCCCACAUACACAAACACGUAUAGUAAGUAUUAUCCAAAGGGUGUGAAGAACAUGACACACGAUGAAAAGUAAAGAGUCGUAUCAAGAGGCUACUCUGUAUGCUAAACAUCAUAGGAGGAUGAAAAUUCUGCAAACUCACCUGUCAUAAGAAAGAGCCGGGUGUGAAGAUAUAGCAACGAGACGCAAACCGUUUCUGAUUGGACAUUCGGCAGAGCUUGCGAAACCGCGACAUCUGGAGGAGAGAGUAGGCUACAAAAUAUUUGCGCGAGACGGCAGUGCAGAACAAUCCAAAUCCCGUCUUGGAGACCGAGAGCCACAGCCAUGCAGCCUACCGACCAUCAAGUGCCAGCUCUCUCUCUCACCGCAAGGCGAGUUGAAAAACACCCAAGAGGAUAGGUGGAGAGAUGAAGCCAGUUUGUCCUGGGCUCCUACUAAAAGAGGUUCUCUCUCUCAUCGCAAGGCAAGUUGAAAAACACCAAAGAGGAUAGGUGGAGAGAUGAAGCCAGUUUGUCCUGGGCUCCUACUAAAAGAGGCUCUCUCUCUCAC